GCUCAUUAAAUCAGUUACGGUUCCUUAGAUGUUGACUAUCUACAUGGAUAACUGUGGUAAUUCUAGAGCUAAUACAUGCACAAAAGCUUCAACCUUCACGGAAGAAGCGCAUUUAUUAGACCAAGACCAAUGGGGUGCCUUUGGUGCCCCUAAAUAUGGUGACUCUGGAUAACUGUUGCUAAUCGCAUGGCCUGUGUGCCGGCGAUGAAUCUUUCAAGUGUCUGCCUUAUCAACUGUCGAUGGUAGGUUAUGCGCCUACCAUGGUUGUAACGGGUAACGGGGAAUCAGGGUUCGAUUCCGGAGAGGGAGCCCGAGAAACGGCUACCACAUCCAAGGAAGGCAGCAGGCACGCAAAUUACCCAAUCCCAGAACGGGGAGGUAGUGACGAAAAAUAACAAUACAGACUCAAAUGAGGCCUCGUAAUUGGAAUGAGAACAAUUUAAAUCCUUUAACGAGGAUCUAUUGGAGGGCAAGUCUGGUGCCAGCAGCCGCGGUAAUUCCAGCUCCAAUAGCGUAUAUUAAAGUGUUGCGGUUAAAAAGCUCGUAGUUGGAUCUCAGUUCAAGCUUUUCGGUCCACUUGCCAGUGGUUACUGUUUGGCUGAACACUUUACCGAGUUGUCCCUUGAUGCUCUUUACCGAGUGUCCUGGGCGAUCGGUACGUUUACUUUGAAAAAAUUAGAGUGCUUAAAGCAGGCGUAACGCCCGAAUAAUGUUGCAUGGAAUAAUGGAAUAGGACCUCGGUUCUAUUUUGUUGGUGUUCGGAAUCUGAGGUAAUGAUUAAGAGGGACAGACGGGGGCAUUCGUAUUGCGGCGCUAGAGGUGAAAUUCUUGGACCGUCGCAAGACGAACUAAAGCGAAAGCAUUUGCCAAGAAUGUUUUCAUUCAUUAAUCAAGAACGAAAGUUAGAGGUUCGAAGGCGAUCAGAUACCGCCCUAGUUCUAACCAUAAACGAUGCCAACCAGCGAUCAGCCUGUGUUCCCUAAAUGACACGGCUGGCAGCUUCCGGGAAACCAAAUGUUUUCGGUUCCGGGGGAAGUAUGGUUGCAAAGCUGAAACUUAAAGGAAUUGACGGAAGGGCACCACCAGGAGUGGAGCCUGCGGCUUAAUUUGACUCAACACGGGAAAACUCACCCGGCCCGGACACUGGAAGGAUUGACAGAUUGAGAGCUCUUUCUUGAUUCAGUGGGUGGUGGUGCAUGGCCGUUCUUAGUUGGUGGAGCGAUUUGUCUGGUUAAUUCCGAUAACGAACGAGACUCUAGCCUACUAAAUAGAUCGCCGGUUUACAAACAUCGGCGAGACUUCUUAGAGGGACAGGCGGCGGUUCAGCCGCACGAAACAGAGCAAUAACAGGUCUGUGAUGCCCUUAGAUGUCCGGGGCCGCACGCGCGCUACACUGAAGUGAUCAGCGUGCUUUUUAAGCCUACUCUGCCAAGAGUGGGAAACCCAAUGAACCUUCUUCGUGAUUGGGAUAGGAGAUUGUAAUUAUUCUCCUUGAACGAGGAAUUCCCAGUAAGCGCGAGUCAUAAGCUCGCGUUGAUUACGUCCCUGCCCUUUGUACACACCGCCCGUCGCUACUACCGAUUGAAUGUUUUAGUGAGGUCUUCAGACUGGCCGGCGCAGCUACU
rnacentral:rRNA from 1 species